ACGGUCAAGCUGUUGGCCCACCCCAAUUCAAAACCGGGUCAGGCCCAUUUCCCUUGGUAUUUAAGGGAAAUGUUCAGCCCUAGCAGCCACAUUUCCCAUACCAAACAUUCAGAAUUUUUAGAGAGAGAGAUAGAGGAUAUUUAGAGAGAGAAAGUGGAGAAUCGAUCAAGUUCAAGGCCCCGAAUCCCGAGGCUCGUGAAGGAUAAAGUGUAGAACAAGUUGUUGCCGUCGUUCUAAGCUAAAAAUUGAACUUGGGGGAUGUUGUUUUCGUGGUAUCUGCUCACAUAAGGUAACGAAGAAGAGCAGGUUCGUGAUACUUUCGACGCUUAAGAGGACUUGCUACUGCUGUGGAUUUGGUGAUCCCACAUUCUUGUUCGUGGGACACUUCCUGUUUCGUUUAUUAUUCUGGAUUUCCGGGCUGCGUCCCAAAGUUUGACGAUUGUUAUGUCUCUUAGAAGCUCCAUAGAUAGUUGUCAGAAUUGUGGGUAGAUUGUCAAAGUCUCGUACGACUUAAUGACUGUUUGCCACGUUUAUGACUAUGACUUAUAAAGACUUCCGCUGAUUUAAUUCAUG